UUUUUUUUUUUAUUUUUUUUUUUUUUUUUUUGUUUUUGUGUGUGAGUGUAUGUGUGUGUGAAGGACAGAGGCUCACAGACACAGCACUGGUUGGCUAUUUUCAUGGUUCAUUAUAAUAAAUCACUGUAAUGACAGUUUUAUACCAACCAAAUGACUCGUGUGUUUUACUGGGACGGGAAAGAGGGCUGUUUUUGACUUUUACAUGUUCCUAAUGUGAAUUUUUCUUUCACUGUGAAGGUCACUGUGUGAAGAGGUGCUGCGAUGAGGGUUUGAAGAGACUGCUGUUGCUGAGACCUAUCUUAAGAUCGAACAGAACGAAGGAAAAGAGGUUUUAUGACCAAUCAGAUUCAAUGCAGACUUGAGAAGCCCAAUCGGAAUGAAGGAAGAGAGAGUACAUGACCAGUCAACAUCAAGCCAGAGGUUAUAAUCAUCUGGAACGAAGGUAGAAAGAUUGUGAAGAAAGAUGCGCAUAAGGGCUGCAUAGAUACAGUUAGCUAUAACCGCCAAUGUUUGUACGUUUCUCAAUAACACAAUGCGCAACUUCUGCGAUGUUGAAUGUCUGGGGUGUCUAGUCCUGCUCCUGGAUGGCAGAUUUUGGUUACGACCAGCCAAAAACACACUUGCCUGGAAGUUUCUAGCGAUACAGAAGAACUUGAUUGGUUGGUUCAGGGGUGUUUAAUUAGUAUUGGAGCUAAACUCUACAGGACACUGACAAUCCAGGAGCAAGAUUGGACACCGCUGGCCUGUGUAAAAAAAAAAAAAAAUGAAAAUAAGAUAAAUAUUACUGUUUGUUCUUUACAACAACGCUCAGAAUGAAAUAUCUUGAUUGUAGUCUGUAGAGGUAAAAUCUUUAUUCAUUAAUGUGGGUGAAUUGUCUUUAAUGAAAUUUUAGAACUAAUACAUUUUAAUGGUGUAUUUACAGCAUUUUCUACAUAUAACAUCAUCUGACAAGACAGACACCCAAUAAAUAAAGCGAACCAUUUUUUUUUUCUUUCCCUUCAGAACUUCAUCCAGCAUUGUCCAAACUCUUCAGCUGUCUAAGAAGGGAGGGAGUGCCACUAGGUACACAGUGAGGUCGUUUCCUGUGGGCUUUUGCUUUUUGAACCACAUUCUCCAGGUUUUCCCAUGGCAUUUUCUUUUUGAUUGGUGAUCCUAGGCUGUUCGUUUAUCUUGGUGGGACAGAAUGAUUAUACCAAGAGUACAAAACGGUACCAGCUGAGAACAUCAUAAUUAUGGCACACAUAACUAUACAGCACCAACACUGCCGAGAAGUAAAUAUCGAAUUAGAGACAUACAGAAAUUCAACAUGUACACUCAAUACAUAAUACUUAAAACACUCUCCUACUUCUGUAUAUACUUGGCUUGUGCACAAUUACUAAUGGCAGAGAUGUCUGCCCCUAAUUUUGACACUUAUUUUUAAAAUAUAUUAACAGUGAACUCUCAACUUCUGUUUACAUACCCAUUUUAAACAAUGUUGGAUAGUGUUGUGGUAAAAUAAUUGUAAAUUUUGAAACCCGAUAAAUAAUCACUUGCCUGGAAAUUGGUUCUCAGGUAAGUGGUCAGGAUUCAGUGUCCCAUUUUGAUUUUUUUUUUUUUUUUUUUUUUUUUUUUUUUUUU